rnacentral:rRNA from 1 species
AGCAGCCGCGGUAAUUCCAGCUCCAAUAGCGUAUAUUAAAGUUGUUGCAGUUAAAAAGCUCGUAGUUGAAUUUCGGGGUUAGUAGGUUGGUCGUGCCACUGGUACGUACUGGUCUCACUGACUCCUCCUUCCUGAUGAACUGUAAUGCCAUUAAUUUGGUGUUGCGGGGAAACUGGACUGUUACUUUGAAAAAAUUAGAGUGUUUAAAGCAAGCUAACGCUUGAAUACAUUAGCAUGGAAUAAUGAAAUAGGACGUUCGAUCCUAUUUUGUUGGUUUUCUAGGAUUGACGUAAUGAUUAAUAGGGAUAGUUGGGGGCAUUAGUAUUCAAUUGUCAGAGGUGAAAUUCUUGGAUUUAUUGAAGACUAACUACUGCGAAAGCAUUUGCCAAGGAUGUUUUCAUUAAUCAAGAACGAAAGUUAGGGGAUCGAAGACGAUCAGAUACCGUCGUAGUCUUAACCAUAAACUAUGCCGACUAGGGAUCGGAUGAUGUUAAUUUUUAAUGACUCAUUCGGCGCCUUA